rnacentral:rRNA from 1 species
AUGCUUAACACAUGCAAGUCGAACGUGCCUUCGGGCAAGUGGCAGACGGCUGAGUAACGCGUGAGUAACACACCCUUCGGUGGGGUAUAGCCUCGGGAAACUGAGGGUAAUCCCGCAUACGAUCCCUAUGCCCUGGUGUAGGGAUGAAAGCCUUCGGGCGCCGGAGGAGUGGCUCGCGUCCUAUCAGGUAGUUGGUGAGGUAACGGCUCACCAAGCCGAUGACGGGUAGCUGGUCUUAGAGGACGAUCAGCCAGAGGGGGACUGAGACACGGCCCCCACUCCUACGGGAGGCAGCAGCAGGGAAUUUUGGGCAAUGGACGAAAGUCUGACCCAGCGACGUCGCGUGGGGGAUGAAAGCUCUAGGGCUGUAAACCCCUUUUCCGAGGGAAGAGGAAGGACGGUACCUCGGGAAUAAGCUCCGGCUAACUACGUGCCAGCAGCCGCGGUAAUACGUAGGGAGCGAGCGUUACCCGGAAUUACUGGGCGUAAAGAGCACGUAGGCGGUUGGAUAAGUCUUCUGUGAAAGCUCCUGGCUCAACUGGGAGAGGUCAGGGGAUACUAUUCGACUUGAGGGCUGUAGAGGUAAGCGGAAUUCCCGGUGUAGCGGUGAAAUGCGUAGAUAUCGGAAGGAACACCAGUGG